GGCCAUCAACAGUAUCAUCUCAGCUGUUCGACCCCCGGUGCAAUGUGCGCUGUACGUCGACGACCUGGCCAUCUUCUGUCGCUGAGCGCCAGAUACAGCUUGCAGUACGGCGGCUAGAGGGCUGGACGGUUUCCAACGUGUAUAGGUUUUCUACAUCGAAGACCCAAGUGCUGCCCUUCUCCCGGAAGUGCUCUAUAUCUCCUGCUCCGGAGGUUCGACUGUAUGACUCAGUGUUACCGGUCUCUAAUAAGGUUAAAUUUCUGGGUCUGAAUUUUGCCCAGAAAUUGACCUGGUGUUACGCCCCUCGUGCCUCAAAAUUAAAUUAUUUUAAUUUAAUAAAAAAAAAUCUUGGAAACUGCUGGGUAAAAUAUUAAGAAAAAUAAAGUUAUUGACCAGAGGUGGCACGAGGUGAAGAACAAGACAAUUUGGAACUCCCUGCACACAAGCAACUUGGGAGCUAGUGGAUUGUUAAAUAGAAUAAGGUAUAUGAUAAAUAAAUACACUACAUAAGUAGCUUGGUCUAUAGGUUCCCUGUUUUACUUAAAAAGAAUUAAAUGAAUCUUUUGUUUUGGUUUAACAAUAACAUGGUAUACACAAUAUAUUAAAGUUAUAAAAGGGGGCCCGCCCGAUAUUAUUAAAAUAAGUUAUACAAUACUGAUAACAAAAAAAUCACAGAAACAGAAAUUUGAAGUAUCUCUCCUGACAUAUUAUAGUUAUUAUUAUAAUUUCAUAUAUUCUUAUUGGUUAAGUUCUUUGUCACUGCUCGCUGGUAUAUAAUUUGUUUUGUUGGCGGCAGGGAGAAGUUAUAUUUUAAAUAUCACCCGGGACUUGAAGUUAAACGUCUGGCCGGGAGGAAAGCUCUUCUUAUGGGGAAAAGCAGCUGGAGGUCCUGCACAACAUGAUGGGUGUAAUUUCGGCACCCAACUGUUGGACCCUGUCUGAAACACAAGCCAAAUUCCAAACGAAUUAGACCUGCUUCCAGACAGUCAAACACAGUCGACGCGAAGGCCAACAAACGGGAAUUCGGGGAGGAAAAGAUCGAAGUAACUCACCAAACAGGGUGUAGCUCCAGGGCUCAGGAGAUGUCUCGCGCCGACAUCCAAAUGGCGCGGACCGAGAAUAGCGCGGAUGACGCAACCGAAAUCAUCAAUAAGUGAAAUAAAAAAAAUUAAUAAAAUUUUAACCAAGACAUGACUUGUUCUAAAUGUUCCUACUGACUGGCUACUGAAUUUUUAGCUGGGAUCACAUCCCUUAAGACAGAUGACUACAUUCUUGAUUCGAAUGAGUACGUCGUUGCCGAAGACCAGCCUCUUAACACAGAGGACGCCGAGAUGACGCAGUAAGUAGCCGAAGUCAAGAGUACCAAGUGCGGCGAUAGCGGACAAAGCUCCUAAUUAAAACGGGCGCUAGGGCCCUAGGGAAAAGGAGGGGGAAGGUUCGGCUUUGGACCGAACAUAUCCGGAGGUGCCCAAAGUGGUCGUAAGCACGACUUCAGUUGUUCGCGCCGAAGAGCGACUGCUGCGGUCUCUAUCGGCAGGUACAGAAAGCAACAUACAAUCGACUAUUACAGGCUGCGAGGAGGAAGCAUAGGGCCUUAUGGCGUAGCUGGUGGUGCACUCUGGUGGCCUAAAGGGGACAUAAAGGGGGGAGUUAGCAAGCUCGCCCACAGGUGUCGCGGGCGUCAGGUCCACGAGCUGGCGCCAAGAGAAGACGUUACAGUUUCUGCCGCUAGAUGUCGUGGAGGGCUCUUUAGGGCAAGGGAGAAAGUUCUUGGAGUAGGCCAUCAUCUUGGCGCGUUCACGUACGGUCAAUGAUCCAGGGUAGAAUUCUUAGAAUCAAAGGUGGGUGGAGAGAGAGGGGAGGGAGGACAGAAAACGCCACCAGGCUGGGAACGGAGGUCCACGGGAGACAUGUUCGUGCCGAGACUAGCUAGUCUCAGCAGGCCUCUAAGAAAUAGAGCUUGCAGGCCAGAAGCUGCUCCAUGCGAUUUUAGUCAUGCAGGGAAUUAAUAUUACAAACCCGGGACGUGACUGCAGGCGAGAGAAAUUUCAACCGGGCUGCCAACGACUACAUCAGACUAGCAAAAGCUCAAAUUGAUCCUUGAGAAAGGGUGCCUCGGUCCGCUGGCACAAAGUUUAAAUACAUAGCGUACACCAGCCUAACAAAGUUUCAAUCACCCUAUUGUAACCAAUCAAUUUGAAAAAUAAAAUUUCGAAAAAUAAAUUUAAAAUUAUAAUAACAAUUAAAAAACGUGCCGAAAUUCUUAAUUUCCGGCACACUGGUUGCCUCACCUUAAAGAUCUGAAAGCUCGUUGUUUGAAGGAUCUCGACCUCCUCAAACUGGUGAGUAGUUGGGACUGGGGUGCGGAUAGGGUUACUCUCCUUUGACUCUACCACGCAUUAAUACUGAGUAAACUGGAUUACAGUUGUGUGGCAUACUCCUCGGCGCGGCCGUCUACCUUGAAGCAGUUGGCGAGGCGAGUGUCCACCAUGCUGGUAUCCGCAUUGCCACCGGUGCAUUUCCUACCAGCCAGGUCGUUAGCAUGUAUGCAGAAGCUGGUGAACCUCCACUGCAAUAUAGGUGAGACCUACUGCUCCUGUCGUAUGGAGUGCGCGUCCGUUCCGACCCGACCCGACUCAUCCGUUUACAACUCAUUUCUGCGUCCGCCUUCUGCACAGCUGUACGCAUCGAAGCCUCGGGCUACCAUGUCCGCGUGUAUGAGGUUCCAAUCCGUUUGGACACCCGCAGAGCUCCCGUGUGUUAUGAUGCUCCAUGCAACAUGAGCAAACCUGGUUGUAACGGGAGCCUCGGGUGCACCUUGUCUUGGCGCGUUGGGCGAAGCCGUCCACACCCCCAUUUGUUUAUAGAGUUCUUUUUACUGAGAUAAUAUGUAAUUAUUUCCGUGGCUUUUAUUUGUAUACAGAUGGGUCCUGCUUGGAGGGAUCCGUAGGGUGUUCUUUUAUUUGUAAUCAGGGAAGGUAUCUUUUUGGGCUACACCCUACCUGUAGUGUUUUAACCUCAGAGCUUUACGCUAUUCUCAAAGCCCUGUGUUUUAUUAGUAAAGGCAUCCACCGUAGGUGUCUGGUGUGCUCCGACUGUAUGAGUGCUCUAUCCGCACUCCGGUCACGCUCGACUUCCCACCCUAUCCUUCCUCUGAUUCGGCAGAAACUGCGCGAUGUGGAACACAGGGGUACUCGAGUAGAGUUCCUGUGGGUACCAGGGCAUGCUUGGCAAUGAAGAUGCAGAUCGAGCGGCAAAGGAGGCUUGCGAACUCCAACCUUGUGUCCUUUGUGUCCGUGUGUGCGAUGCUUUGCUUGCUGCCCGAGCGUUCGUUUGGACUGCAUGGCAGAGGGAAUGGCAAUCACUACCCCUGACCAACAAGCUGCGUUCCAUCUGCGAUGUACCACGACGCCAUUGCUUGGUCGAUUGUCCUACCCGCAGGGAAGACACGAUCAUGACCCGCCUCCGCAUUGGACACACCAAACUCACUCACCGGCAUCUGCUGUGUGGGGAGCCCCUGUCUGAGUGUGAUGCCUGCGCCGCUUCCCUGACUGUACGCCACAUUCUUCUGGAGUGUCCACGAUAUCACCGGGCCCGCGGUACUUUUGACUUCCCCGCUAUGCUUCGACAAUUGCUUGGUGAAGGGAGUUUACCUGCGAGCGUUGUUCUCCCUUUUUUACGUACCGUGGGCCUUUUUAACGCAUUGUGACGACUGUGUUUUUAUCAGCAUGUCAGGCUUUUCCUGUCUUGUUUAUAUUCAGUGGAUACCUCGCUUUUUACCGUAUAUUUGAUUUUAUCUGUUUUUAUGUAUAUUGUCAAUUUCUCCACUGUUUGGACAGUUUUUAUCCUUGUCUACCGUCCUUUACUCGUCUGUCCGUUACAGUUGUUCUGUCAUUCUGUCCCGUUCCCAACACAACCUGUGGGUGCUAAUGGCCUUCGCUGCCGAUGCGCCCCCCACAUCACCACUCACUUCUGAGUAAUAAUUCCUGCAGCAGUUCUGACAGUCGCUGGGCUACUGAGUUUUCUGUCCCCAUCAUAGCAUUACAACCAUCACUUGCGAAACCCAUGAUAUUGUUUACAGGAACCCCAGCAUCACUGAAAGAUUGAAUCAAAAGAUUAAACAAUUGUUCGGCUGUUGCACCCUCAUUCGCUGCAUCUGCAUCUUGGCCUGUAAAAAUUUGUACCAUUUUCCAAAAUCUAGUAACUACGCCUUCUGUCAGAGUAGCAUAGCUCGCACAAAUAGCGAGAGUUUUGAUUGUACCUAUGUCAGUUGAUUCGUCAAUAAUCACACUAAAUUUAUUCUGGAUAAGCUGUUCGUUCAGUUCUGUAAAAUGACACUUCCCGAUAACGUGUUUAGCUAUAGCUGUUGCCUUCGUUCGCCCUAAAGAAACUUGUUGGGCUAUUUUGCAAUCUGGAUAGCACUUCCUGUUCGCAGAUGCAAGAUGCGAUGCGAUUUGCAGCGAAAUGUUAUGCUCAGCAAUGAAACCUGUAAAGCCAAUUUCUGCUUCUUUCAGUGUGUUUCGGAACUGUUCAACGCAUCAUGUUUACAAAAGCUAUUUUCAAUAGUUUUUUGAGACAAUCCAGAACCAACAUUUCUGCAAAUUUCAAGGCGUUUCUUGCUAAUGCUAUGAUUUUUUAUCACUGUAAUUUCUGCUUUAAAUACUGCUUUAAAAAGUAAACAAGAAGCUUUUUGUGAAUCGUCUUUAACUUUCUGUAACCAUCCCCGGAAUUCCCGAUUUUUCUUCCCAUUCUCUUCUGUAAUGUUGUACUCGUUUUGUUAGUGCACCAACAGUUUUUGAGGCCCUCUUACAUUUUUUCCUAACACCCGAUGAACCACAAGCACUUAUUUUAACUGUUUCUGAAUCCUCCAUUGUAAAGCAGCAAUGGAAGAAAAAAAGUAAGUAAAAGAAAUUAUAGUCACUCACCAAAAAUAUCUAUGAGAAUCGGCCAACAUCUAUUUUUCAUCCCCCUAAAUGUUAGGGGUAGUCCACCCCUAAUAUUUUUUUUUAUUUCCAGUUUUUGGUAGGAAAUCACCAUGGCAACAUUGUUGAUGCUUCAUUCGUCUCUAUGGCAACGGCUAUUUCAUUGUUAGUGCAGUCCUCAUCACCGUUGAAAUUUUGCAAGUACUUUAAAUAUCAAAAAUUGCCCUUUUUUUUCAAGUAUAUAUAUUUUAUAGACUUGAAACUUCACAGUAAUGAUCCUUAUGUUACGCAGGAUGACACGAAUUGUGUAGUAAAGCUGACAAAAAAUUUCACUUGGUGGUUAAUAUAAACCGUGGCAUUAAAACAGAACAAUCCCGUUGGGCAAGCCCGACUCUACUGUGUACUCAGCUCACAUCAUCGCGAUACUAACUGCCGAUGCCGAACCAAAGCUUACUGUGGUGUGAUCGAUGAACUCCUAUCUAAGAGUGGCUUUUGUAACGGAACACGAACAGUAAACAAAUGUAUUUAUUUCACCUUUAUCUGCAGAGGACAGCAAUAUCGUCCUUACUUGUAAAAAAAAUAACUUUGUAAUCUUCAAAUACUCUUUCUUACUCCAAGGUCUCCUCGUAAUACUAUAUCCUUGCGACGAUCAAUGAGGAGUAACUUAUACAUAGUUUUCGCUAUCAGUCACUCGGCAAAUGAUAACGGUGCGUAAUUGAGCCAGGAAAAAAAAAGAUUUUUAUGCUGUGAAUAAUUAUGGUACAAUUAGCCAUUAUCGGCAGGUAUGUAUCGUAUAUGAUACAAAGCAUGCAAAUAAGGUAUAAAAUGAUAUUUAUGGUACGAUCUGGCUACACUGGUGCAGUCGGCAUUCAACUUCUGACCUUGAAUAGGAUGGGCGCAGACGUCACACAGUUGCUAGGCAACAGGCACCUCCCUCUCCCCCAAUCGCACCACAACUGCUAAAGCUCAAGUUUGAAGCGAUGGAUCCCCCUGCCCAACCCCACACACCAUCACAUUCCUUCCGCUGAUUGAUCUAUCGCCGGUGCGGAAACGUCUGUUACGUAAACAAACAACAAUGACCAUUAUUGGUAUUUAUUUUUUAUGCGCGAGUAAUUAUCCGUAAUAAUUCUCAAAAAUCUGGAUAUCCUUUCAAUGUUAUAAUUAUCCCUAAAAACUGACAAAAUCCGUAUAAUCGGCAGGCCUGCUCUAAUCUUCUCCUGAUCUUUCAAAAAAAAAGUAGCUCUUUGAUCUUACUCUUUGAUGUCCUAUAUUUGUUCUUCUACACUUUCUUUCAACAGGAGAACUAUUAACAAGUUAAAGUAGCAUAUUCUUUUGUCUUGAAUAUGAUAGGGAAUGAUAUGUACGGCAUGUUUUUUCUAUGAAAUCUUCAUCGAAUCUGGUUGUGCAUUUGUACAUGCAUUGUGUGCAAUCAACUGGUUUGGGUAAUUUUGGUAACUGUAUGCACCUCUUAUUGGAUUUGUAUGGCAGUCCUUUACUGCGGAGUCUCUUAUUUGUGUUCCUUUUCCACUGAGAGAGAUUUGGUUUUUUCCACCUACUUUUCCUUGUGGACCCUUUGUCAGGAGUAUUUUCUGUAUUGUUUGUAGCUUCCAGUACUUUAGUGCGGUCAUUUUGCUGUGCUGUAUUUACAUGAACUUGCACAUCACUUGAUUUGUCCCUUAUUGAUAGAUUUCUAUUAACUUGAUUUGGCUGGUAAUCUGGAUCUGCGUCGCUGUCGUCAAAUUCUGGAGAAUCUUGAUCAUCAUAUGACAUUUUACCUCAGAAUUUCUGGAGUCCUGCAACAUCAUUCAGUUCAAUAUAAUAUUGAGAUAUGAAAUGUGAUUACCUGUUGAACAUUGUGAAUUAGGUCUGUUCAAAACAAAAUUAUAAUAAAUUAUUUACACAUAAAAUUAUUUAAAAUAUUUGUCCCUAGAUUCAAUCACUCUGCAAUUAUUACAAGGAUAAAGGAUACUAUAACAUAACAUUGUCCUAGUAGGACAGUAGAAAAUCAUAUGACAUAAUAUGGUAUACAGAAUACUUAUUGCCCCAAUAUUGCUUGGAUUUAUAUUACCAUGUUUACAUUUCUAUGGUGGGUGUGUAAAGUGUGAUAAGUCACAAAACUAUGAUUGUGACAAAACUGUAUUUUAAUGUUUAAUUAAAUAUGCUAGUUUUUAAAAUAAACAUUUCAAUAUCUGCAUUGUGAGAGAAGUAAGUUCGUAAACAUUAUAAUUCACAUGUAAGUGUAUAUGCUGUUUACAUUACUACAUCUUAUAUAUAAAAUUCUCGUGUCACAGUUUUCGUUGCCAUACUCCUCCGAAACGGCUUGACCGAUUUUGAUGAAAUUUUUUGUGCUUAUCCGGUAUCUAUGAGAAUCGGCCAACAUCUAUUUUUCAUCCCCCUAAAUGUUAGGGGUAGUCCACCCCUAAAUUUUUUUUUUAUUUCCAGUUUUUGGUAGGAAAUCACCAUGGCAACAUUGUUGAUGCUUCAUUCGUCUCUAUGGCAACGGCUAUUUCAUUGUUAGUGCAGUCCUCAUCACCGUUGAAAUUUUGCAAGUACUUUAAAUAUCAAAAAUUGCCCUUUUUUUUCAAGUAUAUAUAUUUUACAGACUUGAAACUUCACAGUAAUGUUCCUUAUGUUACGCAGGAUGACAUUUUCCGAAAAUUAGAUCCCAUAGCAUAGGUGGUUAAAACCAGGCAACAGUGGGUACUUUGUCUGCAUGAGAACAGUAUUUUGCAUUGUUCAUGCCUUCUGCGUCUCCAUGGCAACAGGCAUCGCGCGGCAGUGGCGUACCCACAACGAGGGGCAUGUAUUAUGAGCGGCGCAAGAGUGAUCUGCCUGUAGACUGCCGUAGCGAAGUACGGGUACAUCAGUUUUAUGUUGCGUGCACGAGUCGGGAAACCAUAGGUACAUUAUACAGCAUUGUAAUAAAUUUUCACGGAAUUUUUUAUUAUUUACCAUUACUGUAAAUGGGAGAUGUGGCAUAAUUCUUUUUCCAUUAGUAUAGCCGUGCGAAGCCGGGUCGGGAAACCAUCGGUGCUAUUCAUUUUCUCUCCGGUACAUUAUACAGCAUUGUAAUAAAUUUUCAAUGAUUUUUUUCAAUUUACCAUUACUGUAAAUGGGAUAUGUGGCUUAAUUUUUUUCCAUUAGUAUAGCCGUACGAAGCCGGGUCGGGCAGCUAGUAGUUUAUAAUAAUGACUGAGAAGAUAUAAAUGUGCAAUAAAUAUUGACAUAACACAUUGUGCACACCAUUACUACACACUUUUUUCGCACUUAAAACAAUGUUCAUAAGCCAGAACAAAAUAUUAUCUUAAAUUGCACAUAACUAUUUUCAGGAAAAUUGCACAUAACUAUUAUUCCACAGUAAGUUUCUAUAAAGAAUUUCUUGAAAUGGUGUCCAAUAAGUAAACUUAUUCAUCGUUGUCUGUUCCUUCUGCUAUGGUAUCUGGAUGUACAUUCCGGGCAGACUUGGGUGUUUCCAAUUCCUUGUAAAACUAGUGAAAUACAGGAGAAACAAAUUGGAGUGGUCCAUUAAAUCUUUCUUUUUUUCAGCUGAAAUACAAUUUGGACCCAUGUACCUCAGUUGUGGGUUAAGCUUUACAUCACUUCUUCCCCUUCUUCUGAAAGAUAUUGUUUUGAAAUCACUUUCAUCCAACUCUUUCUUGUAAAAAAGAAUGCCAGGUUCUUUUUUUUUUUCAAAACGCAGCACUUGACCUGUCUCCAGUUGAACGCAUUGCCAUCUGUAUCACUUCUACACAGUUGGAGUGGACCUGUCAAUAAUUUAGCAAAGUCUAGAAAUUAUUCUUGGGACAUUUCCUUUACAAUGAACGGUUUUUUUCCUCCCAGCCUGCCGAAUCAACUGUGCCCAGUCAUGUGGAUGUUCAAUAUUUCCAUUGUAUUUUUUUUUCUUCCUUUCAAUUAAACUGUGGUCUGAGUCACACUCCAUAUGUGUAUGACCAGACAAAAAAAAAUUACGAUUAAUGACUUGUAAAUUUGGUAAUUGCUGUAAUGCCACCAUACACAUUACAGCAAUAUGGCUGUUUUUAUUUUGACCACCACAGGUGUCAGAGUACAUUGUUAACUCCUUAAUUUCAGGAUUUAUUUCAUUCGUGAGAUAGCUGUGCACACGUGAACCAACUUCAUUGGCUCCUCUUCCAGCCAUUCCUUCAUGCCACAGAUAACAAUAAGUUUGUGCAUCAUCACAGUCAUGUAUGGUAAGAUUGUAGGUCCAAAGUUGUCUCUUGUAAAAGGCUAUUGAACUCUGAACAGAAGGUGUUGGUAGGCACUGUUGCAUAUUGAAUGUUAUUGUUUUUUUAGUUUUAUCGGAUUGUGACAAAGUCUUAUCUUUUUUCUUAGCAUCGUAAGCAAUUUCAGCCAAUUUAUGAUGUUCAUCUAGCUGUUUCUGGAAGUCCGUUGUAUCAUGUCCUGUCUUGAUUUGAAGUGCUAACUUAUAACACGUAGCACAAGUAUGUAUCAACUUUAGGUUUCUUAAUAGCAAGAUUAUUUUCAUGAAAGAGAGUUUCGAAAAGUUGCCUGCUAACUGGAGUGCACACUAGAAUAUGUUUUUGUAUACUCCUUAUACAGUGCAGCCAGUGUCAUUAAUGAAGGUAGAAACUUCUUUUUGCAGUUCCUUCGGGAGUAGUGACUCUCAUAAGCAGGAAUCGAAGCCAGGAACUUUUUAACGAUAUUAAUGUGUUCUUCAGAUUUCUUAUUUUUUGGCUCAUGCAAUCCCCUGGCAUCUAGCUGCACAAUCCCAGAUGUACUGAAGCGUUUCUUAUGAAUCACUGUUUCAAUAUAACGUCGACUCUCUAAAUACAUCCAUGAAACAUGUCUUGCAGAAGGAUUUUCUAUCUCCUCCUGCUUAAAUGUUAUAAAUCACAGAUAUUUGGCGGAAAUGACAGUUUUCUUAAUCUCUGCUUCUUUUCCGUGUUGUAUUCUUGUCCUUGAUCUCAAUCAAACUUGAUAUAAAAGACAGCCUUCUGUCAAAGUUGCCCUCUCCCAAUAGUCACUAAACACUUUUUCUUGGGUCUCAGUCAAAAUUUUCCCUGCACACUUGUUCCUACACUGACCCAAAGGCUUUGUUUUCCGUGCUUCCACAAUUCCACCUUUCAGAGUUUUAUAUCCCUUCCCUGAAUUACGUGCAAUUUUUCUUGCCUUUCUACCUUUUCUACUAUUACCUUUCACACCACGGCCGCCCCCUCUUCGUAAUUGCGAUGUUGGUUCCUUCUUCAGAAUCCUCAGAUUCAACAAUGAGAUUGGAUUUACUAUUAGUGGCUUGAAGCAUGGUCUUUCUAAUUUUUGGUGGCCUAUCUUCUCUGCCACUAUCACUUGAUGAUAAUGAUAAGCCAUCAAUAUCAAAAUUCGGAUCUCUAUUAGAGUCAUUGGAAUUCAAAAUGUGUUGCAGUUCUUCAGGAACGGAUGAUUCACGACUGGAAUCUAAAACAUAAUAAUACACGACUGUUUUGUAAAAAAAUAACCUGUCAUAACACUUAUGAAAUUAUUUAUUUAUUAAGUUAAGAAUUUUGAGGUCACAACAUAUUUCGUGUUUGCAGAACUAUUGUCGUAACAAAAGUUGCAACAAUGGGGACAUAGAAUCUGUUACUGUACAUCACGUAAUAUCCAAAACUCAUAUGGUUUGCAUGCAGUUGGUUCAUUCUAGCAUCAUUGCAAAUGUCUACAUUUCCUUGUAAAAAAAAAAGCUCACUUCAAGUAAUAAAUAAAAUUUGUAUUUCAUUAAAGUUUAUAUAACCCUAAACACAUCACAACCAUCAUAUUAUUAUGUACCAAUUGUGACCCAGAGUGAAAACUAAAUACUAAUACAAAUUAAAUGACAUUAGUAAUGUAUGAAAACUUUUUCCUUACCUUCAUUGUUAAAGUCAUUCUGUUGAUUAAGUUGUUGUAAAGCCAUUUCAGUUAUUCUCUUUCCCCUUGAAAACAUCGCUGAGGAUGUAGUAGCACAAAAAAGUAUCUCAAUAGUAAUGCUUCGCCAAUAUGCUAGGAGUAAGUUUUUUUAAAACAAAACCACUUCUUAUAUCUAUCAGUUUAUAAAAUCCAUUUCCUAGGUGACACUUCCCUUUCACAUUGCAAAUUUCAUGUUGAGUUCAUGAAAUAAAAGUGAUAAAAUGAACACAUUGUCUAAACACUACCACCCUUUGUAAAGAAUGCCACAAGUUACAAUCAUGGAGUAAUGAAAGUAUGACAGCAAUGAAAUGAUGUUUCUAUUGUUUAUAUUUGCAUACUGCCAACAUAAAUGAAAAUGGGUCUAAAAAUAAUAAACACUGAAAAAAGAUGUUACAGUUUUUCCUAAAUAUCGGAAGACAGAUUAAACAUCUAACACACUUAAAAACAUUAUAUUUUUUGUAUUUUAUCCCUGUUAGUGCACAAUGUGUUGUCACUGAAAAUGUAUAUGUGUAGAGUGCACAAUGUGCUAUGUUGCAGCCAACAGACAUAACACAUUUUGCACUCCUACAUUAUUGAUAAUGUUAACUUAGCACAUUUAACACUGCUGCUUGAAUUUUAUAGAAAUGGACUGUUUACUUAACACACUAUGCGCACACGUUCCAAAUUUUUUUUGAUUCUGGCAAUAGUGAUAAGUCAUUUCACAAUGUUUGUUGACUUAACACACUUUACACACCCACCACAGAUUUAAUAAAGUGAAAUAUUAUAAAAAAAAUUAUUAUUUAAUUGCAGUCAACAAUAUUUCAGUUAAAUUAUAUUUACCACAUUCACAGCCAAAGUACUCAAAUGAAUUAUAACAUCCAAACUUUGCAUAUAAAUGGUAUCAUACUCAGUUGUGAUUAUAAACUAGAUUCAAUAUUGAUUACAUCAUGGUAACAUAGUAAAUAUUUAAAUAAUAAUUAGGGUAUUUUUAAAAUAAAUAGCAAACACUAACCUCGUGAAAUGAGUGUGCAGUUUCAUUUAUGAGAUGGUCAGGUGUCGGACCUAUCUCAUACAUUUGUAGCAGUUCCAAAUUGCCAUUUUCUGGUAUUUUCAAUGCCUUUCUAUUCAAGUCAGUUUCGCCAUCUGGCCUAUUUUGAAACAAUGCUGCACCAUUUCUUGAUUCCUGGACAUACAACAUGCACAUUUUAGGCUAACUUAAAGUACCUUUAAAAGUAUCACCAAAUUAUACAUUGUUUAACAUUAUAAAUGUCUGAUCAUGCUUACCAUAUUUCCGUCUCAGUCUUCAUUUGCAUCAUUACAAGACAAAUUAUUACAAUUUGUGACAAGACUGAUAAUAUACUUCCCACGGCUCAACAUUUUGUUUUCAUUCUGUCAUAGACAAGUUAAUAGAAUUACUUAUACACCACAAACAAGAUGUUUAACACAUUUUUAUAACAGUCAUUCACAAAACCAUAGACUAAUUGAUACUAGAUAUCCACAUGGUGCUAACUUGCAAGCUUACUAGAGCAUUGUUGCCAACAUCUGUUGAAAAAAAAUUCAUUUAUCAACAAGUGACAUUAAUUUAAGUCAAUAUGUAGAAUAAUUAUUUUCAUUUCAGAAAUUUAGUAUAUUAUUUGUCUAGUGAUAAGAAUUACCACAUGUAACUUAGCCAUUCUGAAAAUGUAAAAUGCAAAUCGCAAUCAGAUCAACAAGAGAGGCAAAAUUGAUUAAGUCCCAUUUAGUCAUUUUUACCUUUGUACCACCUUAUAUUCUGGACUUAAAUAAUUUUCCAGAAGUUCUAUAUCUCAAUAACUUGCAAUGACAGGACUUGGACACUUUUACUACUGAAGGAUAUGGCUAUAAUGAACUGUUUACAAGUAAAAUGGCCAUUUUCAAGAAAAGUGGACUUGGGCAGUUUUACCUCUAAGCAGACGAUUUGUUAGAUCAGGCUUACAUAGCCUCACUUUUUCUGCAAGUCCUCUUCACAAACUUUUGCAAAGCCUGCUUCUUAAUAGGAUCCUUCAGAAGCUGUGACGAUACAUGAAUACGAUGCACAUUCCAACCACUCAAUAUCUUGUUUACAUUUUUGCACCAUGCAUGAAUUAAAAGCCUGACAGAAAGACGAGUGAAGAGCUUCUUUAAAUCAUGUUCUUUGCACGUCAUGAAACUCAUGUCAACAGAAUUAUAAAUUUCAGUGAUGAUUUGCUUCCCUACAUUCUCAUUAUGACACCAAACAGGCAAAAGUGAUGCACUAAUUUCUGAAAUUCUGCGGAAUGUUUGACUGAACUUUGUACUUGGAUAACAGAGAGCGUUUGGAGAAUAUGAUUGACUAGAUAUUACAAUGUUCUCUACUAUUUCUUCAUGAGCCACUGAUUCAGUCGCAGAUGACAUUAGUAUACGACGACAGAUUUUGCAGUACUUAGUUUCAUGGACUAGUUUUCGAGCUAAGUAUCCACUUACAUACCUUUUUACAGCCGUUGAAAGAUAAUAUUGUUUGUCUGUGAUACUAAGGUGUUUCUUUCUCUUUGAAUGAUCACACAUUGCUUCAUGAAAGUUGUCAUUUGCAGUGUUACUUAUGGACUUAAUGUUGGCUGGGCCUGGCAAUGAUACAUUGGUGACAAAAUUUUGCAAUGUAUCAAGAGCGUCUUCUGGUGUGUAUUCACAAUUAGCUCCGACAGAGUUGCUUGACAAAAAGUUGUUAAUAUUAAACUUUUGAAGGAAGAAAUAAAUGAAUCACACAUUGGGUUUACAUUACGGCAUCCCUGACUUCUUACACUACAAAAAAAGUUUUCUAAGGGAUCUUGAUUUAACCUUCUUGGACACAGAAAUGUCCAUCUCUCUUUCUGCAGUCUCUUACAAAUACACUUUAGGCCUUGCAGUGUGCGAAUCCAAUUCUUCACAGAUGGAGGUACAGAAAAUUCCCCCUGGGCACCAACAAACUUCAUUGUUCUGAAAACCUGAAUCAUUUCAUCCCAAAAUGGUAUAAGUGAUGAUUUGUUCUCUAAAGCACAUCUAAGGUUCUCUAACCUUCUCGAGCUUCGAGAGCACUGCCAUUGACAGAGUCAAACAAUUUGUCCAUUAACAAAAGUAUGUCUGCAGUGUCCACAGCUUUCCUGUCUAACUCUGGUUCAUACUUGCCACCCUCUGCUAACUUUCGCAUUAACGCAGACACUCUCUGACUAAACACUUUUGCACAUUUAUUCACUUUCCACUUAAAUCUAACAAUUUUUGUUAGAAGAUUAUUAUGAAUACAUCUUAAUAAAUGUGGUGGGUCAAACAGUGGGAUGAUGACAUUUCCAUCCACAAUGAAACCACAACUUCUAUUUUCUAUGUUAUCUUUUAAACACUGCUGUCUUGUUUCUUCUAACAGAUAAUUCAUUGCAGCUUGAUUGUUCGCACCCUGAUCACAAACAGUGGCAAUGACAUUAAGACAGCAUGCAUUCACACGCCUAAUGACUUGUUUGAUGGCAAUGGCUAAAGAAUGAGUUUUUGUUGCAUUCUGACAAAAUGUAAAUGCCACUGGCUGUUUCCAUUUUCUUCUUAUACCACGUACCAUGAAAACAAGUACAUGGUCAGCAACUAAUGGAACUCUGUUAUUGCCACAAUCUUGCCAGCUGAUUAUCUUGUCUUCACUUGUACUAUAAUGAAGGCUUGGUUUGAUAGCCAUUUCAUCAAAUAACAAGCAGCAGUAACUAUCAGAUGUAGAAAGUCUUGAUACACUGUGCAGAAGGUUGUUAAAUAUCUGCUGAUUCAAACCAGGGCUAAAUUGGGAUAUUCUGCAACAGCUUCAUCAUUGUUUGCCUGCUUGGAAAAGAGAAGACUUUAGCCAACAAACGUUAAGCUUUGCAACUUUGUUUAUAAAUAGACAAUGCCAAAAUCUUGUCAUCCAGGGUGAAUCUACGUCCUUGUGGUCGUACAUCCUUAUUUCUUAUCUGAGACAUAAUCAAUUUAUAAGAAAUCGUAUCAACCUUCUCAGAAAGUAUUUGUAGAAAUUCAGACGUACAUGUCUCCUCUGCCAUUUUCAACCGCUUACGAAAAGAACAGUUUUUAUUUCUCAGCAGUCUAGCCUGCUGUUUAUGCUUUAUGGCUGCCUUGUAUAAUGAACUUGCUUUGGGUGUUGGUUCAUUCUGAAAUGACACAUUAACAGAUUUUAGUAGUCCCUUAUUAUUACCCCUAGCAGCAGAUGUGGUGGAAGUUACAGGGGAGCUGUAUGUCACAGGUAUACCAGCAGCAGGUGAUGUGGUGGCAGCAGUUGAAUUGGUGGCACCAUUAGGUAAAUGGUUGAUGUCAUCAACUGGACAAGAUGCACUGGUACCUCCACUGCUGGAAUGUACUACAGCCAAAAACCAACAUUACAUUUGGAAUAGACAUACUAUAUGUAUACAAAUUUCUAACUAGCUAGCGCCUUAAUAUAUUUAAAAAAAUUAAAUGCCGUUACUGAAAAAGAUUUAACCUGAAUGUGUUGGUUUCAUUUCAUGAUUUUGUGACACAUCGUCAAGAAGGUAAACCCCCAGUAGUCAACACAUUAGACUUUCAACUAAAAAUUAAGAUGAGGCAAUGUAUCACCAAAUUAUACGAAAUAAAUACUUCAAAAUUGACUUUCAAUAACUGUUAAAUAAAUUAUUUGUUGAAUGUGUCCCAUGUUUAAGACUUCAUCCAGUGAGUACAAAUAUUUACACUAUUUGUUACAGAAAGCAUUAAGGGCUAUGAGAGACAUUUUAACUACAUGUUAUAUAAUAUAGGAACAAUGUCUUGUGUUUAUAGAAAUGUGGACAUAUGGUGACGUGUAAAAUAUGUUUCCAUGAUAUAAUAUUUCUUAAAGUGGCAGUAUUACAACACGUGUCCCUAAUGUUGAUAUAUUCAAUAUGUAUCAAAUAGUAGCAAAUAACAAAUUAUAUUUCAGACUUGUGCAACUAUGCUUAAAAUUUAAUUUCCAAAUAAUGUUUGUUUUGAUUCAUCAACUAUUACACUAUGUUUGCUAUGUGUUACAUACUAGCAAAAUGCAGAACUUUGUAUGUUGACUACUGUAAUGAAAUACCAAGUUUUUAAAAUUUUGUUAUUUUAUAACAACCUUAUGGUAUAUUAAUUAAGUUCCACUUUUCUAAGUUACAAGGAAAGAUGGGAAGAACAUCCAGUAAGAUAUAUAAGUACAUUAAUAGGAUUCAGCCAUUUUGUGCUUGAAAGAAAUUUUUUUACAGAUUUUUAACAAACUAAUUACCUACCUACUUAAGAGUGUGUUUGACUAGUUAAGACUUUUCAUGGCAUCAUAACUAUGAUCAAAUAAUAAAACUUGAACCAAUGUGCCAACUACAGAGACACCGUAACAGGUGUUAACGACAAGUACAAUACUAAGUAAAAAAAACCCUCUGAGGAGUGUGUCUAGUUUAUGCAGAACUGUUAACUUACAGAAGAAAAGCAGUGAAAAUAUUUGGUUGCAAAACUUAAAACCCAUUCAUUAUAAUUGCUGUCCAAUACUACAAUUUCAGAAUUUUGUUGUUGUUAAUGCAAUCAAGAUAUAGGAAUACAUAUUUUAACAUUCUUAAUAACAUUUCUUACAAUAAAUAUAUUACUAAAAACAGUUUUCAAAUGCUACUAUCCAAAAAUAAUAAUAUUGUUGAACAUUUCUAACAAUGAACAAAAUUGUAAUACUUGGUAGUAAUUUCCCCAAAGUUAGGCUUCUCAUUAUUUUAUAUUCUUAAUUAACCCAUCAAAUAUAUGUACAGAAGCUAGUAAGCUAUUGAAAGCUGUUAAAGCAAAAUUGUUGAACCUCAUGCCUACUUAAAAAAAAAAAAAAAUUAGACCUACAUGACAUGUUGACAAUUACACUAAGUACACUACAGAAAUAGCAACAUUACUGUACAAGCGACAAAUUUCAUAUAUAUGUGUGUGUCUCUGUCAGUGUGUGUGUUUGGUUAAGGUAGCUUGCGAGGACGCACAUGUGAAUUUUUUCCGACGCUGUAAGGACUUAAAAUGUUGCGAGGACCUCGGUCAAGUCCUUGGAAGGAAAUCUUGUGGUUUUGAAGUCUAAGGGUCGCAUCCGGCUCAGUGGAAAAAUUUCAAAAUUUUCUGAGCGAGUCCUCGGAACGACGGUAGAGAUUCCAACGACUAGUGCAGCUAAAUUCCACCAGGAAGUGCUCUAGUCGAUUUCCUUCACACCCAAUGUGUAUGCAGUUGAUCGUCUGGAUGUGGAUCGAGGACUUGGAUACACACCUCCAACUAACACACCGAUGUGAGCGCUGACGGGUUCGGCGAGGACAUUGCUUUCGGCCAAUCAGAAAGAAUGUUUGAAAUUUUAAUAUAUCUCUAAACACAGUGUAAUGCGACUAGUCUGAAACUCAGGCAGUUAAGAAAUAUGUUUAUAGGGCAGUAUUUAAUUUUAUAAUGUGUUUAAAUACGUUCUUUUCACUUAAUGAUUGUGCGAGAUAUUAGAUUUUUAUUAAUACUUUUCCUCAUUAAUGAUUUUUUAAACUAAAUUUGCACUGGUUUUCAGACAGUGACGUUAAUUUUAUCCUGGCAUUAAGUUUGAGUCAAAAUAUUGUUUAACAUAGGUUAGUAAGCAAGAUUUUCAUCUCUUAAAAAGCAACCUAUUUUCUAAUCUUAAUAACAGACAAUGUUGGGUUGCGAUGAAGUUUCUUACAGAAAUUUCUGCUUCCCUUGUGUUGUGUCGUUCCGCAAUAAACCUAAUGAAUUAAUAUAGUUUUAAUUUAUAUUUUUGACCAUGCGUAUUAAAAUAACGGAAAAAUUAGAAACUGAAUUUAUUUUGCAAAAACUGUGUAACUCUCGUCUUUUCCGAGUAAAAAUUACAUGUUCGGUUUAACAGAGAAGUGCUUUUGCCUGCCAAGUAUGCGUCCUGUUGUUGUAAAGUUGCUUAUGUUGAUGAGAAAUCACAUAGGUAGUACACGAACUUCAAUAAAAUUUAUAUUCUCGGUAUAGUCAAGACAUUUUCGCUGAUCUGAUAUGUAUACCACUUAUGAAAGGAAACACCCCCCCCCCCCCCCUUCUCUCUCUCUCUCUCUCUAUAUAUAUAUAUAUAUAUAUAUAUAUAAUAUAUAAUAUAUAUUUAAAAUUCUCGUGUCACAGUGUUAGUUAUCAAAAUCCUCCGAAACGGCUUGACCGAUUUUUAUCAAAUUUUGUAUGCAUAUUCAGUAGGUCUGAGAAUCGGCUACUAUCUAUUUUUCAUACCCCUAAGUGAUAAGGGUUGUCCACCCCAAACAUUUUUUUUUAAAUUUUGGACAAAAAUUUUUAUUUUAUUUUUUUAUAAUGUGGAAUUAAAAAAUACAUACAACCGUAAAUUUUCACCCUUCUAUCACCAACACCUAAUUUUUAAUAGAAUUUUAUAUUUUUCAACCCCGGUCGAUAGCUGAUCGAUUAACACUUGAUCAACCUUCCCUGCCUACAGCGAGCUCAUUACCUGGAUUAACACAUAGACCUCAUAUUAAUAUAAAAUUCCAUCUCUAAGGGAGUGAAAAAGUGAUAAUUUCAUUUUAUAACAGAAAAAAUCAUAGGUCAUAGACAUACAAAUAGUGAGUGAGUGUGUGUCAUUUCUUUAUGUCUGCCACACGAUCAUAGACAUAGUAAGGUCUGGUAAAUUCAUAUUUUUCUCCUUGGUGAGACCAGCCCGCAGCGGCUAGCAAAAUAAAGGCGCUCAUAACAGUUUUGUUCUUAACUUGGUCAAUAGAUAGAGUUAGUUGCUUUGAAUUUUAAACGCACCAUCGUUUGAUGCGUUUGUCAGGUCUUUAAUUUUCGUUUGUUUGUGCCGUAUGCGUUCCUAUACCAUUCAUCCAAUUGCGAUGAAAUUUUGGUGAGUUGUUAUGCGCAUGCCCGUGAAGGUUUCUGAGACGGUAUAACUAUUUUGCAAUAGUUGGAGCACAAAUCGUGUCAAAAAAUGUGUUUAUUUCAUAUUAUAUAGCGGCACUUCUUCUGUUUUUGUUGUAUAAGUGCGCACGCAUGACACAAUUUAUUUAAAUAUAAAAAAGAGUCAGAGAUAGAGUGAUGUAUAUAGAGUGAGAGAGAGAGACAGAGAGAUAAGUAGAGAUAGAGCGAGGUAUAGAGAAUGAAAUGGGUCAGAUAAAGAGAGAUAUAGAUGUAUAGAGCUAUAUAGAGAUUUAUAUGUAGAAGAGAAAGAGAUAGUGUCAGGUAUAUAUUUAAAUAUGUAGAUAUAGAGAGAUACAUAGAUAUAUAAAAAUGUAGUUAGAGAUAAAUAUAUGUUUAGAGAGAUGGAUAGAUCAUUUGUAUAUGUGUAACUACUUUAAACAUAUUACAAAACAAAACUGAAUGAGGGAUUGCAAUGCAUGCUGAGCAUUAGCUAGAUAAUGGAAUCUUUUCAAUAUUAGUAAUCUCUUAUUUUUAAGCUUUUUUCUAUAGUGUCUUAUAGAGUCUAGACUACAUACAGACCACCAAUUUUUAGAUAUAUACAGGUAAAUAAAAAUACACUGGCAGAACGUCUGUCGGGAUCUGAAAGUGAUAUAAAUAAUUUUGCACACUUGAAAUUCAAAUUAAGAAGACAAUUACUAACUACAUCUGAUUUCGAAAUAGGUACCCUUCACCCUGUGUUCAGCCCGGGCAACGCCGGGUACUGCAGCUAGAAAUUCCAUAGAAAUAAUUUAUAUAGCGUAUAUAUACACAUGCAUGCACGCAUGCACGCGCGCUCACACACACACACACACACACGCACACGCACACGCACAUACACACACAUACACACACAUACACAUACACACAGCAAAAAUAAAAGUAAAAAUUACUGGGGUGUGUUAAAUGUACAUAUUCUUCAAUUAUUAUUGAUUAUGGUUUUAAUAAAUAAUAACCAUAAAUUUGUUUCUGUCAGGCAAGUGGAUUCUUAAAUAUCACACUUGUAUAAUAUUUUCUCAAACUUUGGAAGUUUCUACUGCACUUACUAUUAGACCUGGGCCAUGGGUUCCGUGUAUCAAUCUUUAUAUUUUCAGCUCAGGAAUAAUCUACUAAAGAUACCAUGUUAUAGGUAGAUGUCGUGAAAUAAAUAAAUAUAUAUUUAUAUAUACAUACAUAUGGACCGGAGUGGCACGUUUAAAGGAUCGUGACUGACUGUAACGGAUAUGCAGGGACAAGGACUGAAUUCUUUAAGGUUGCCACCCCCUGAAUUAAAGGCCUUACGUAAUUCGGUUGCCAAAUUUCUGUAAGGAAUUUUGUGAACUGUUUGAAAUAUUAUUUUAAUUAGUUAUUGGCGAACACAUUUCUAUACGGCAAAUAUAUGUGAAAACCGAUGCAGACUGAAAGAAAAAAAAUUUAAUUAUUAAAUAAUAUUUUAGGUAACUCUUGCUUGUUGUAAUGUGGUUUACAUAGGUACGUAUAUAUGACGACCAAACAAUCGUUGUUAAGCCCUACCUUGUUGUAGACACCGUUUAGAAUAAUUGUGAGAGAGAUAUUACUAACCAAAACACAGAAAAAAUUAUCACACUUGUAAUAUCACACUGUAUUAAAUUGUAAGUUAAUAGCUUCUAUGAAAACAAUAUACUAAAUAACACCUAACAAAUAAUUCAUAUUUUAUCAGGGAUUUAUUCAUUAGACACAUUUACGGGAAAUAACCUAAAACCUCGUUAUGAUACUUAGUGAGGAAAUUAGUUUUUGUUUGCGUUCUUUGCUGGACUGAAACAUAGCUACUUCAGGAUUUUCUGCAUGCAAAUCUUCAAAAUGUCUAGGCAGUUUAGCAUAUGAUUUUUUACAAAAACAACAUACAUAUUUUUUGUCCCAAUUUCUUUUGGAAAUGUUGUUCUCAAUUUUCGACGCAAGGUCUACCUGAACAUUAAAUGUGAGAUUUUCUGGGUUUAAUGUUGUCGAAAUUACAUCGGUUUGGGCUUUCUGACUGUCAGUAUGUGUACACUUAGAAACAAAUUUACAGUGGGCUGUAGUUGUACCUUGUUCAAUUUCUGAUGAUUUUUCAGUCAUUUCAGCACUAACUUUUGGUAGUUCAUCUACGAGGUCAUAAUCAUUUACUAUGUCUAGAAUGGUAACAUUUCCUCAAGCAAAUAUUGUAACGUGUCUUCUUGCUGCAUCACAACUGACUGGACUGUAAAAUUUCCUAUAUCUCCGUCUGUGUUCUCCAGUAAGCAUGGUCUAUCCGGAAUAAAUCCGUGUAGGCUGAUUUCAUCAAUCAUAUGUUCGUUCAUUGAAAUGUUGUGACGAGAUUUCUAACAAAUUUCGAUUUGGCCCUGGUUCUGAAGCGUUAUACAUUAUCUGGUGUAACGUGCCCUCUUUGUUCAUUUCAAUUUGAGGUUUAUGAACAAGAUUUUUUUAUUCUUGUAAAUAGAAUGGUUUGUCUUGUACUGAAGAAAAGUCAUCUUGACACUGUAGAUUAAUGGUUUCUUCUGGUGAUUUCUGGCAUGUGACGUCACUUGUGUUACUAAUACUGGCGAUUUUCUCAGUUGUUUUGCGACCAACCUCUUCAACUUGACAAUCUUUAUUACUGUGAUUUAAGGUAAUUAACUUUUUAUGACUCAGUAUGUCAUCACAGUUUUCCUUGAUUCCUAACGCUGUGAAUGAACUCAGGUUCUUUUGUUGAGGUGAAAUUUCACACAAAUUUUUUUUAUUUUUGUCAGUGGUAGGUGUUUCAUCUUUUUUUUGUUUCCUGGAUUGCUUUACUUCAUGGGAAGAUAUAAAGGCAGUGUUCUUAUACCGAGAAAUCAGACCCUGCUUGCCUGAAAAAAAAAGUAUAAAUAUAUACAUUCAUUCAACAUUUUACAGGCAAAUUGAACCUAACUGCACAUUUUAAACAAUUUAUAACCUUUGUACCCAGUAAUUGACCACAUUCGUCUAUAUUAAUACAACACUUUUUAUUUAUAAGCUUUAUAAAAUGUUGCAAAUUGAGAAUUUUGUUUACAUUUGCAUAUAUUAAUAAAGGUUUCAUAGUUUACGAGUUAAAUUUAAUAUUAAUAAAACGGAUAGGUUAGGAUUAUGAAAUUUCGAUGCAAUAAUGGAAAAACAAUUUGUUACAUCAAUAUCAAACUACAAUUAAAAUAACACCGACAAACUUGUCCUAUUUCUAUUUAUUUUAAUACUUGUCAUAUGUUUAAGAUGCUCACUUCACAUAUGAUCUAGUAUAAGCUUUUUUUUACAAUGUUUUUAUAAACUCACUUUCUUGUCUGUUUGUCUGUCUGUUUGGUACAAAUUUUGCAAGCGAUUUUUAAUUAACUUUCCGAUAAGCUAGAGAUUUGAAUUUCAAACAUAGCUCAGAACCGAAUGACAAUGCAAUAUUAAAUAUGUAAUUAAUUAAUUAAUGCUGUUUACACCAAUUUUGCAAUAUAUUUUUUUAACUAACUUUUCAAUGUGCUAUAAACUUGAAACAUUAAACAUAGCUCAGAACUAGCUGACAAUACAAAAUUAUUUAAUUAAAUUAUUAAUUAACGAAUUAUGGUGUGUACCUCGGAUAUGCACUAUUUGCUAAAGGACAUCCAUAUAUCGCAUUGAGUCAUGUCGGAUCAUUUUAUGGAUUAGGAAUACAAGACUAAAAAGCAGAAAAUAAAUAUUUAAACAAGAAAAUUAAUAAACCACAUUUUUAAAACGGACUAAAAUUAUAAAAUAAUUUCUCAUAGCCCCAUACAGAUUUAUAGUCCCAUAUAUAUCCAUGCAUUUUUCUAAAAUUUUUCUCUUCUAGGCAAGUGGCUGAGAACUUUCUUUUUAUAGUCGUACGAAAUGUGGUUCGGUCUUAAUGCACUCGGAAUGUUGUCACGGGAUAAUACCGCCUGCUCUCAUUAGCUGAGGCAACACCUACUAGACUUCAGGCCUGCGCGCACCCUUGUGACGUCAUCAACAGUAGGCCAUCCCAUCCUUCCCCUGCCGAGGCGACCUUCAGACGGCAGUGCUGGCCGUUACAAGAGCUCGGCAAAGUUACACAGAAGGAUUUUAGGUUUUUGUAUCAAGUGAUUGCUUUUUGCAGAGUAAGAAAUUAACAAAAUGUUUUAUCUAGAAAGUCUCACAGUUCCUAUGAAAACAGUUACAACAUGAAACACCGUACAAGAAGUUUAUUUUCUUUUAACAUUUAUAACUUACUUUUGAAAUGUGUUUUUUGUUAAUAACUCCAAUUUAAACAAGGUAUAAAGAAUUUAUUUACACAAAGAUUUUUCUUUUAUGAAAGUAAAUUUUAUGAAAUUAAAAUAACAGUAUUGCUUAUACCUAUACAAUAUAAAUACAAGUUAGAAUUUUUACGUACCUAUAUAUUCGUAAAUCUAAGUAUCAACACAUAAAUAAUUACAUUUAUUGGCACUAUGAAUAAAAAAUUUUUAAAUUACAGUUCUUUGAUGAUUAAGUAAUUUAAUAAAAACAAUGCUAUUUUUAAAAAUUAAUGACUCCAUUUAAUACACAUUUAAACUAGUGGAACGUUCAAAUAAAUUUACCAAAAAAAUAUUGCAUGCCACGAAGUUAAAAAAUCUUAGAUUGUAAUAAUUUAUUUUUGUUUAGUAACGAUCUGAAAACAUAUUCUUCGAACUGUUUAAGGUAAUCCACAAUUAUUCUGACAAUCUUAUCAAAGUAGGAUAUAUCAAAGUAGGACAUAUCAAAGUAGCUAGGAAUGUCCAGAAAAAAGUUAUUAACAUUAAAGUGAUCUGCAUUCUAAUUCACCAUUGAAAAUGAUAAUUUAUUCUUCUCAAGUAUUUAUUUAAAAUUUUUUAAGUAAUUUCAAUAUUACAUUUUGCCACUUUUUGCAUUAUAAUUUACAUCAAAAUUACAUGAUAUCCACAACAAAAGCCAUCUUUUAAAAUAAAAUCUGAUUAUUUUUUGAUCAUAAUGCUUUAAGUAUAUGGUAGAUAAGGUAAGACAUCAUGUCUUUUAAAAUACGUAACUUUAAACUUUGACAGUUGCAACAUAAUCACCUGACAGUGCUAAUGUGGCAAAGCAAAAAGGGUUGUUAGCGACAAAAAAUACUUUGCGAAAUACGUAGAAGGGUGUGAAAAUACUGUAAAUAGAUACAACAAUGCAAUCGCAAUUAAAACAUGUUUAUGGGAUUACGCCAUUGCUGGUUUGGCGUAUAUCCAUAAAAAUGUUUUUAAUCCAUCUUCCCCAUUGCAAGAAUAAUUCAAAGAACGAAUGCAAUUGCAAACUUACAAAAAUACGUUACUUUGGGUCCUUAAAAUGUAAUAAAAUAAUAAAGAUAUUAAAUCUUGAGUUCAAAUCCCUGUAACAUCUAAGUAUGAUUUUAAUAGCUUCCAUUGAACUAGUAGAAAACAAUAUGUAGACAUAAAUAUAUCAACUGUAUGGCAAGUGCGUUUAUUCUAUAAACAAUAUCAAUGAUGAUUUGACAUGAAAGUCCAACUAGUGUCAUGGUUAUUUUUCAUGUAUUCAUAACACAAGGAAAACAUUAUGCAAACACAAUUUAUAAAUUAUCGUAUCUCCUGACCAAAUUUAAGCCAGUAUAUGUACCUGUGCCCAAUUAAUUUGAUUUUUUUUAAAAUAAUUUGGAUGACAUUUCUUAUUUAUAAUAAAUGUCUAGUUGGGAUUAUUUUAUACUUUCUGAAUAGUUUUAAUAAACAAAAUAAUAUUUAAUAAGUUUUAAAUGAGGUAAGCAAAAAUGCACAAAAUGUGUACGUCUUCAAGAAGGUAUAGGUUAGUGAAAAAAAUAUUGUAUCUUUAAUCGUUGUUGACAAACACAGCAACUUAAUUCCGCAUUAAAUGUCUCAAAUAUUAUGGAACUAACCGUAUGCUAACAUACAUUUUUUCUUCAAAAAAACUUAAAUUGAUAUUUUCACAAAUGACUGUAAACACAUUUCAAACUUAUAUUUCUGUAUUCGGAUGAUUAUCUAAAUUGAAUUAUUGAUAACAACGUUCUUUCAAUGUUUGUGAAUUAAAAUAUUUCAUACUAUUUCAAAUACAUGUCUCAACAUUUUUUAUAACUCGUAUGAAAAUGUAAUUUUAGUCAUUGAAUUUUAACAGUAAACAGUUUAUUUGAUGUUAUGCAUUUCAUAGCAAAAAAAAAAAAAAAUUAAAAUAUCAAUUUAGUUUUAAACAUAAAAGCAUCCAAUUCGAGAAGCAGAGACUUGAAUAAAUUAAUUUUACUUUUAAUACAUUUUAUCUAAUUGUACGUGUUAAUAAAUGCUGACAGAUUACAUCUGGAUUAACGGCAGUGCCUUUUCGCCAUUGAAAAAAAAAUUCUUAGUAUCAUGUAGGUAGUGUAAUAGUACUAGUAAUUUUUAACAUUUUUAUAUUAUUAUUAUUAGUGCCUAACCUUAACAUUUAGCAGCAAAUAUUUUUUAGCGCAAUGUAAAAUUUUGGAUUACAGGUUUACCAGGCAAUAUCAACAUUUUAAAACUUAAAAACAUGUGUGAGCUUAAAGAAUUCAAAAACGAAUAUUUAUGUUUCGGAAUGCUUGUUAAUGUGAAUGAUCCGCCUUGUGUUUCUAUAAUAUACUCGAAUGUUAACGCAUGAUUACAGUGUAUAGUAAAACUAUAAAUGAGAGGUACUGAAACAAACAUUGGAAUAUUCCGCAUUAUACUUAUAUGUAGUUAGAGCUAAUAUUGAAAAAAAGGGAAGGGGAAAAUUGAUUUCUGUUAUAUAUCUUAUUUUCGGCGGGCUUAAAAGUUUAAAGAACUACGUAUCUACAGAAUAAUCAGUUAUCUUUUAAAAUAAAAAUGGACGUUUACAUAAAAGUAGUGCUUCUUUCGAAAAUAAAGAUAAAUUCUUACUCGUGACCGUAGACUUGGUUCUAAAUUUUUCCUUGGAAUAGUUAAAACCCAUUUCUUGUUAGUGUCUUCAUCUUGAGGAAAUCUAAAAACUUGCACUGUUGGCCCGUUGGUAUAAUUUCCUCUGCAAUUCGGAACACAGCACUUGUACAUUUAAAAAUAUUAUAUCAUUGCAACGUGUACGUGAAACCACCAACACUAUACGCAAACUGCCAACUGCCACAGAAAUCACAACACGACAACGUGUCAAGGCAACUACAAGAUGACUGACUGCCUCGCUCGUUCAGGUAGCAGGGCAAGGGUCGGCCUACUGUGCGUGACGUCACGCCUUCAACUUUCCCCAGCGCUCAGGCCAGUAACCAGCACGGAAAAUAACAUCAAUCCUAUUUGCAUAUCAUAAUGACGCAGUACGUAGUGUGGCCGACAAGCAAUUUUUUUUUUCUUGGAAGAGCAUGUUCAGAAAUACAGCAAGAAUUACAAGUACACAAUCUUGCUAGGAACGUAUUAUCCUGUGCAGCUGUUUCUAAAAUAGAAUAUACCUAUUAAUUGUCCAGGAUCUGAGUGUAGAACAUCGCGACAUGGCAACGCUGCAUGAAAUUUAUAUAUAUUGUUCCUUUUUUUUUUCUCUGAGCAAUAGUUUGUCUGUUUUAAUUUUUAGUUUAGAUAGGCCUAUGCUUUCUGUGUCGACCGAAAACCUGAAUUGAUUGACAAAAUAUAAAUUAACGUGAGUGAGACCGUGAGCAAAAGCUAGUAUAUUAUACAUACUUUUGGAACAGCUAAGUUCUUCUGUGGAUUUCAUUUACACUAAUGUUAACAUCCAAAAAUGUUCGUUAGAGUAUGCAGUAAUUUUAAGUUAAUGAAAUUUCCGUGUUUAAACUUGUUUUGUUGAGGUACAUAUAUAUUUUUUAAAAAUGUCACUAUGUUGCUGACGUUUCCGUUUUUAAAAUGAGAAAAUGUUAAUAAAUUAUAUUUUAACGUAAACUUUAUACUUCAGAUAAGAGUAGUUGGUGAAGUAGUAUUUUUUAUGCUGGUUUCAAGAAUUAUUGAACGAAAUGAAACGACCUUUGGAUUUGAUAAAAGUGAUUUACCGCCAUUAUUUGUAGAACCAGAAAAACAAGAAAAUAUAGUUACUGUAGACGCCAGAGCUCGUGAGGGCUGGAAGCGCUGGUUGAGGAAAACCUAUUUUGAGGAGCGGCCGGGAUAAAAGAGAAAGUUGGCCCCAUCUACAAGCUGCGCUAGGAACCAUUUAAAACACAUUGACCUUCGUCUGCGCUGCAGAAGUGACGGGAAUUUGAACAAUAGCAAGUAACGGGCAGCCGAAGAGAUUUAAGAAGGUUAUUCAUAGCAAGGAAAGAGAAAUAAUGAGUGUUGUUGAAGCUUGUGAUGAAGAAUCACGAAAUAAAUGUUUGCUUGUUCCUUUGAACAAAGCUACUCACAGAGCUUUUAAUUUUAAGUACAUGGGAGUGAGCAGGGCGUCUAUUGAAAGAAUUAGAAGAGACAUUAGAGACCAAAUGAACCACAAACGACUCCUGGAAAACAAAGCAUAUGGGUGCACGAACAGGAGUGCAAGGAAGGGGGCGGAACAGCUGGAAGUAGAAAAACAGAAGAAAAUAACUUUUCACAAGCUUCCGAAAGACUUGGAGAAGCGAUAGCAGUGGAUAAAAGCUGUGCGAAGGGAAAACUGGAAACCGUCAGCUGGGAGUGUUUUAUGCUCUUCUCACUUUGCUGACGAGUGUUUCGUCAGGACAUCUCUGUGCUAUGUGAGACUAUGGGAGAAUGCUCUUCCAACUAUAUUUCCUGCUUUUCAACCUCACUUGCAUAAGGUUCUGUAGCAACUGCUUUUCCUGUACCUAUGUGUUGUUGAAAUUGCUUCUUUUACAAUUGUGCUUCAGCAGUUCUGACAACUGAAAUCAAUAUUUUGCUUGUAUGACCCUACUUAUCGAUACAAAAUAUUAUUUCAUGCAACAAAUUUUUUUGAUUGUAAUGAUGGGAUCAUAAUUUAAUGGAGCAGUUUCGAUGUUUUGGGAUUUAGGUAACUAACUUAAGGAAAUGUAUUUUUGGUGACUACACCAGUUGUCGUAAUGAUGAAGUAAAAUUAAAAACGUACAUAGAUUAUACCAAAUCAAAGUUUCUUGCAUGUUAAUAUAUAAACUUAGAAUGCAAAUUUAAAAAUAUGUUAAAGAGCUAAAGCCUAAGAGAUACUUCUUGCAUUUAUUUAUAAUAAUAGUUUAACACUCACAAUUCCCUCACAGUCUUGACCAGCAUAGACUGUUUACCCCUCUCCGUACUCUUCCACACCUUUAAAAAUUAAAUACCUAGGUAUAGAAACAAAUUUCAAAAACUUCAGUAAGAACAGACAUACUAUUACAGUAGAGCACCCCUCAACCGGAAUCAUUGGGGGGAGGUCUAUUCCGGUUUAUCGGGAGUUCCGUUUGUGGGAAUUACGGUUGUGGGAAUUACGGUUGUGGGAAUUACGGUUGAGGGGUGCUCUACUGUAUCAACAAAUAAUGUAGAUUAGUUGGAACAAAAAUAAUUGCAAUACCUUCUACAAUUUUUUUUGCAUCUGAAAUCAUGAACUUGGUGUUUGAUACUAAGUAACACAAUAGAAUAAUUAAUGUAUUGUGUACUGUAAAUGGAAAUUCCACUUCAGCAUUAGGCCACAGCUAGUAUCAAAUAAUUGUGACCUAUUUUAAAGGUAUCUAGAACAGUAUUUAGUAUGGUAGCCUUCUGUAGUUUUUAAUUCUCUGCAACAUCUGAAUUUUUAAUAAGUAAAUGAGUAUAUGUAUAUGCAAAUAAUUACUUUUAAGAGAACAUGUGUAGUUAACAAUUCAAAAAUAAUGCUAUGUUUGUAAAGUAUCUGUUAAUAUGUUUAUGAUAUAGUGGUGAGUAAAAGUUGGCUUAGGCCUACUACAUGUUUUUCUUCCAGCUCAAUGACUGCAAGUAAUAUUGUAGAUUGUGUAACUUCUGUAAUUAUAUGAGUACUAUUGUAAAUUUUGUAACAUCUGUAAUUGUAAAAGUUCUUGUAUUUACUGGGAAAAAAAUGAAAAAAAAAAUAAUGUGUACAUUUGUGUACUAUAAUAUCAUAGCUGAUUUGUAUGUCUGGAUGUUCAAAAAUUAUAAAUUAAAUUUAUGUGGAAAGUUGUCCUUAAAUAUGGUUUAUGGUGUGAGCUGUAUGUGACAAUUUUAGAGAGAGAAAAUUCUGUGUAAUUUUAAUACUGUUUAUAGAAGAAUUUGUACUGCAUUUUUUUACUGAAUAUGAAGCUGUUUUAUAUAUUUUCAUUUUGAGCAAUUCUCUGUAAAUGUGUUACUUAAUAAAUUUGCACAACUUGUA